GUGUCAGCAGCCGCGGUAAUACGGAGGGUGCAAGCGUUGUCCGGAUUUAUUGGGUUUAAAGGGUGCGUAGGCGGCUAUUUAAGUCAGCGGUGAAAGACUCCGGCUCAACCGGAGCAGUGCCAUUGAUACUGGAUAGCUUGAGUGUUGGAGGGGUACAUGGAAUUGAUGGUGUAGCGGUGAAAUGCAUAGAUACCAUCAGGAACACCGAUAGCGAAGGCAUUGUACUGGCCAACAACUGACGCUGAGGCACGAAAGCAUGGGGAGCGAACAGGAUUAGAAACCCGCGUAGUCC
rnacentral:rRNA from 1 species